GAUGAACGCUGACAGAAUGCUUAACACAUGCAAGUCAACUGUUUCGGACGUUUGAGUAACUCGUAAACAACUUGCCUCACAGUUAGGCACCACAUUUGGAAACGAAUGCUAAUACCUGAUACUGUGAGAGAGCUUUGCUUCCCAUUCGCUAGUUGGAGAGGUAACGGCUCACCAAGGCGAUGAUGGGUAGCCGGCCUGAGAGGGUGAUCGGCCACAAGGGGACUGAGACACGGCCCUUACUCCUACGGGAGGCAGCAGUGGGGAAUAUUGGACAAUGGACCAAAGUCUGAUCCAGCAAUUCUGUGUGCACGAUUAAGUUUUCGGAAUGUAAAGUGCUUUCAGUUGGGAAGCGGUACAAACAGAAGAAGUGACGGCUAAAUACGUGCCAGCAGCCGCGGUAAUAC
rnacentral:rRNA from 1 species